rnacentral:misc_RNA from 1 species
UCAAACUUGGUCAUUUAGAGGAAGUAAAAGUCGUAACAAGGUUUCCGUAGGUGAACCUGCGGAAGGAUCAUUACCGAGUUACGGGGCCCUCGGGUCCCAACUCCCACCCUUUGUUUACCAUAACCUGUUACUUUGGCGGGCCGGUGCCUUUGGGCACCGCCGGCUCUUCGGAGCUGGAGAGCGCCCGCCAGAGGACCUAAAAUUCAACUUGAACAGUGACGUCUGAGUCUAAUUAUAAUGAAUCAAAACUUUCAACAACGGAUCUCUUGGUUCUGGCAUCGAUGAAGAACGCAGC